UAUUAUUUGCACUUAAGUAAAGGAUCUAAGUACUUCUUCCAACACAUUUACAGCUGCAGUCUUUUUCUGGGUCAAUCUUAUUUUUCUCAGUUGACUCAUGACACAGUCAGUGUUGUAAUAAUGAUGAUAAAGCAGCUAACAGGCUAAUUGUGUUGAAUUCAAAGUGUGCAGGUCUGUGGUCGGCUCUCUUUCUCUCUCUCUGUAAGAUGAUCAGCUGGAGAUGAACCUUGCUUGACCUCCACUUAACACAGAAGACGGAACGAUGGGAUAUCUUCUCUCUCUUUCUUUUUGUCCAGUAAAUAAAACCUUUAGAAGACUAGAUCUUAUCUGAAGAGCUCAGCAACCAAUCUGAAAUAAAACAGCCCUCAUCUACAUGGUAAAGGACCUAAUAUCUGUAAAUAAAAUGCUGUUUUUAGAUUGUUCGUUUUGAAUAAAGUGUUUAAAAAUGCCCCAAAACAUUUCCGCUUCUGAACAUUUAGGACAUUUGAGAAAGGACACAGGUAGAUUUCUGUGAUGAUACCUGCUUGAUGAUGAGUGUGUGUGUUGGAAUUUUACAGGAAGUAGGGUGAAAGGCUUUGUGAACUACAAAAAUCUAGAUUACAGCUAUGGCAACUGUGAAAGUAUCAUGUUUUACCUGGUGCUGUGAUUUAUAUAACACACAAAAAAACUAUAAAAAGGAAAAACAUGCUAUCUGGCAGGUAGCUCAAACUGAAGUUGCUUAACAACUAAAGGACCUCAGGUUGCUCAAGCUAAAGUAGCUAAAGGAUGCUAGGUAUCUAAGCUGAUUCAACUCAAAGACAUGAGGUUGUAAAGCUAAUAGCUAAAGGACAUAAAGUAGCUAAAGUAACUACAGGACUUCAAGUAACUAAAGCGAUAAAGGACACAAAAUGCUAUAUUGCUAAAGGACACCAGGUAAAGCUGGAGUAGCUGAAGGACCUAAAGCUAACAGGGUAGCUAAAACUGAAACACAUAUUGUGCUAAACUAGCUAAAGGACAAAGGUUGGUGCAUUGUUAUCUUGAGGCAGCAGAAAGCGAUUGCGCUAUUGACCAACAAAAACCUGGUCUGAAGUCAAUAGUGCAGUGUUUCACUGUUAUUUCAAGGAUGCAUUAUCAAGACAGUAUGCGCCUACAUAAGCGGGUGUACAACGUGCGUAACUCUGCUUGUUACCAAGUAGCUAAAGCUGAAGAAGCUAAAGGACAUCAAACCAAUUUUAUGUGUAAAGCUCAAUAUCACAAAUCACAAAUUUUCCUCAGAGACUUUACAGUCUGUACAGCAAUACAACAUCCUCUGUCCUUAGAUCCUCAAUUUUAAUAUGGAAAAACUCCAAAAAAAAAAAAAAAAACCUUUAACGGGAAAAAAUGGAAGAAACCUCAGGAAGAGCAACAGAGGAGAGAUCUCUCUCCCUGGAAGGACAAUCGUGCAAUAGAUGUGUGUACAGAAUAGAACACAAAUUUCAGAAUACAGCAUUGAACGGGAUAACAAAUCAAAUAGCUAAAGCUAAAGAAGCUAAAGGACAUCAGGUAGCUAAAAGUAACAUAGCUAAAUAAAACAGGAAGCUACAUCUAGGUGGCUAAAGGAUUUUAGCUGCUGAAGAUGAAGCAGUUCGAAGACAUAGCUAAUGCUAAAGUAGAUACAGGACACUAAAUGUUUAAGUAGCUAAAGGAUGUACCUAAAGCUACAGUGGGGAAAGGUUACAUAGCAUUGUUGCUAAGCUAAAGUUGCUAAAAAACAUCAGGUAACUAAAGCUAAAGUAGCUGAAGGACUUUAGGUACCUAGAGCUAAUAAGCUAGCUAAGGUAAUAGGACAGUUAAACCUAAGUAGGUAGCUGGAGCUAAGAUAUCUAAAGGACUAAAAGCUAAAUUAAAUACUAAAGUAGGUAAAGGACAUUUGUAGCUAAUGCUUAAGUAGUUAAAGGACAUUAAGGGUGAAAUAGAUAAAGGUCCCCAAAAGCCUAAAGACAGAUGUAGAUAUGAUCUAUAUGUAGAUAAAAUGGUAAGAUGGCUAAAACUAUAGUAGCUAAAGCAGUUAAAGCUAGAGACGCUAAAGUACAUUAGGGAACUAGAACUAAGGUAACUAAGAGUUAUGUAGCUAAAUACAUCAGGUAGCUAAACAACAUCAGUUGGCCACGUCUCGGUGGCUAAAGGAUUUUAGCUGCUAAAGAUGAAGUGGCUCAAAGACAUAGCUAAUGCUAAAGUAGAUAGAGAACACUAGAUGUUUAAUUAGCCAAAAGACAUUAAGCAUGAGCAAUAUAAAGGACACCAAGUGCUUAAAGAUGUCAAGUGCAUUAGGUGGCUAAAGCUUAAGUAGCUAAAGGACACCAGAUAGCUAUCCCGGUGGCUAAAGGAUUUUAGCCUCUAAAGAUUAAGUGGCUCAAAAACAUAGCUAAUGCCAAAGUACAUACAGUUCAAUAAAGCUAACGUAGCUAGGUUACUUCAUCUAAGUACCUAAAAUACAUGUAGGAGCUAAAGCUAAAGUAGCUAAAGGACAUCUGGUAAUUAAAGCUAAAAAAGCUAAAGGACAUAAGGUAAGUAAAGCUAAAGUAGCUAAAAGACAUAAAGGAGCUACAGCUAAAGUAGAUAAAGGACAUAAAGGAGAUGAUGCUAAAGUAGCUAAAGAACAUCAGGUAACUAAUGCUAAUUUAGCUGAAAGACGUUAGGUGGUUAAAGAUAAAGUAGCUGAAGGACAUACAAGAGAUGAAGGUAAAAUACCUAAAGGUGAAGCAGCGCGAUUUAAAGACACAGCUGCUGCUCUGCAGGUUUCUGCUCUAGUUAACCAGACCUGAAAGAGGAGCAGCUCACAGUAUCAGUGUCACUCUGCCUGGAGCGGCUCUCUUCAUCCGGCCUCGCCACUCUGACAUACUGGGACCAGUGCCAGUGCUGGAGGACAUGCUGGUUUUAGCAGCUGGAAGAUGUCCUGACAAGUAUUUUACAGCAACAGAGAAACGAGUCGACAAGGUGACGGCCUGUCAGACGUUCAGAUUUGUCCAUCUUCCACCUGAAGGCGCCUGAAUCCUUGCUGAAUACGCACUGCGAUGACGUAAAUUACUAUGACACGAAAUGGGAAAAUUGGUCCACAUCACAAGCGGUCUGUUGAUUUGAUGUGUUUCUGUUGUUGCUAUUGAUGCUUCAGAUGUUGUGUUGUCAGCGGAAGAGAUGACCGAAGCACCGUCAGCCAUUUCCAAAGCCGCAAGAUAAUCGAUGCAGCAGAUUAUGACCUCAAACAACAGAGAUGAUGGGUAACUGUGGAGCUGAUGAAUAAACAAACAUGAGGCCGAGUGCAUCGUGUAUCUGCUCGAUAUACAAGAUCAGAAUAAUAAUGAUAAUAAAACUUUAUUUAUGUAGCACAUUUCAUAC